rnacentral:rRNA from 1 species
UACAGAGGGGGCAAGCGUUAUUCGGAAUUAUUGGGCGUAAAGGGCGCGUAGGCGGCCUGGCAAGUGGAAGGUGAAAUCCCUCGGCUUAACCGAGGAACUGCCCUCCAAACUGCUUGGCUUGAGUCCGGGAGAGGUGAGUGGAAUUCCAGGUGUAGCGGUGAAAUGCGUAGAUAUCUGGAGGAACACCGGUGGCGAAGGCGGCGUUCUGGACUGCAACUGACACUGAGGAACGAAAGCCAGGGGAGCAAACGGG